GAGCGCUCGGGCGGGGCGGUGUCUCCCCCCAGUGCGGGGGGAUGGGGAAGGGGUGUCUCCCGGCCCGCCCAGCCCCCUCCAGGAGAGGCGGCUGCUCCUGGCAGGGCCUCCCUCCUUCGCUGGGCGGCGGCUGGCGCCCAGGCUGCGGCCUGUGGCGUUUGAAGGCCCGACCGGGGAGCUGCGGCCGGCCUGGCUAGCCGGGCUCCUCACAGCGCCCCUACGCCCGGGCACCAUGCCCAGCCGUCCCCGCUGCCGAGCACGGGUGGGGCGGGCUUCGCUGUGGCGGGCACGCGGGGAUCGAGCCCCGCUGGGCGACCGCCGCCCUCGGGCCUGCCGUGACCCUGUGGCUCUGGGCAGGGGGAGUCCCGCCCACCCCCGAGGCCGUCGAUACCCGUGAGGGGACCAGGCUGCGGCCCGUGCAGUCCCCCGGUGCAGCGGCAGCCUAGCCCCAAGAAGGGCUGGCUUUGGUGGGUGCCGCGCUCUUCUCUCCCCCCCGUUACUCGGGGUGAUGGUGGCGGCUUGCAGCGCCCACUGAAAUGUCUGAGCAGACCUAGGGAGGAUCAGGGACAUUCAAUUGAGAAGGGAGACAGACCGGAGCUGAGGCUCUGGGGGGUGUAUCCGGCACUCACCGAGUUCAUUAGAGCGACGCUGGAAGGGCUAUGUUAUCCCGCGCCCGCAGGUGGUAGGAAAUAACCUACCUUCUUCUGCGAACUAAAUGGCAGGAGCAAGAGCUGCACAGGUGUACAGGGCUAGCUGUAGUUAAUCAGUUUCAGUCAGAGGCAGUCUUUUAUAUACAAAAACAAUGCCCUUACCUUGUUCGUUUUGGAUAAGAGCACUGGCUCAGGCAUAUGCUUUUAUUGCAGUAAACGAUAGCUUGAACAGUGAUUUCCUAAUUGUGAAACACUUGAUAUACAUCUCAGCCUCAGGGUAAUUCUGGUAGAGGCCUUGCACCUCUGUAUUCACUGCCUGGGAAAAUGCACAGAACAUUAAUCCUGGCACUUUUAGUAAAAGCUACAAAUUGCACCAUUUUUGCCUUGGCCUUCCCAGUUGAUCUAAUUCCUAGCUGACUGGUUGGAUUAAAGGCACAUUUUGUCACAUUAAGAUAAUUAAUGUCUCAAUGUAAACUGUCCAGAUACCUCAUAAUGCUUACUUUUUACCAUGUAUUAAAAAACACUACACGUUUUCUUCUCUUCCCCCUUUCACAAACUUUCUUCAUUCUCCUGUGAUGUGGUAGUUCUCAUCUCAAGGGGCCCCCACUGUGCUCCACCUACUACAGACAGAGGAGCAUUUGUGGUAGAGACGAGAGAAACAGAUCCAGCAGAAAGAGUAACAUGAAAAGCUCUUGCUGCUGGCAUGAUAGUAGUAGUUGGUGUGGGGGUGGCAGAACAGACCUUAUUCAGGGCUACAAGUCCCCACAGUGAAACAGUAGCAUGAUCUCUGAUAUCUAGAACAACUGACUGCUGUUGUAAUAGCAUUUUGUUCUUAAAAUAUUUUUUACCAAUAGCUUGUAAAAAUGCUAUACUUCAAGAGGUCUGAGAAACAAAUGUGCAUGCUCCCCAACUGCAUGUGUUACUAUAGAAUUACUGCAGUUGAGAAUAAACCAGCCCUCCUUUGACUGGAUUUGCAGUAGGUAUUUCUGUUUAGAUCAUAUCUUGUAAGUGCUGUUCAUCAUGCUGAGGUUCAAAAGCUACGUUUAAAGUAAUCUCGGAGAUCUUACUUUAACCCACAAAAGCAAGCAAGGAAAUUUCAUAGUUAAAACUAAAAAUCUGAGAUGACAUUCUGGCUUUCACUCAUUGUGUGUUUGGCUUUUAUAGCUGAACGCUUUGCAUAAUAACCAAGAGAAAGUUAGUUUGUAUAAUUCUUAACUUGUGAACAUUAGUAGGCUCUUUCAAGAGAUGUUGCUAUCGUUUGGAACCCGUACAGUUUGUUGGAUCGUGUCAGAUAUAGUUGAGAUGAUGGAUUAUAAUGGCUCCUUUGGAGUUCUCAUGGUUGAUUAGAAAAUGAGUUUUCUAUUUUCUGAUCUGUCCUUCUAAAAACAUGUUUUGUGCCCGUACAAUAAACCCAUGUUUAAAAUCUUUAGAAUUUUUAGUUGCAUAUGAAUUUUCUUGUCUGUGACAUUUCAGUUUAAAUUCACUAAAAUCAUUUAUUUUUAUUUUUAGUGCUUAUGAAGGGUGUUAGUCUUGACAGCUUUGGAAACUAAAGUCUCCUAAAAGAAUAGGCAAAUCAUGGGUAGUAGUUAUUGAGAGGUAAUUCAGAGUCUAUCCUCACAGCAAAGAAAAACCCAUGGCUGGGCUGUGCCCACUCACGUGGGCUUGCAUGCCUUGGGCUGCAGAACUGUUUCAUUGACACCUGAGCUCUGGGACCGUUGUGCCUCACAGGUUCCUAGAGUCUGGGCUGCAGGCUGAGCCCAGAAGUCUACACAGCAAUGAAACAGCCCCACUGGCUGAGCUCUGUGAGUUUGAGUCAGCUGCCGCAGGCCAGCUGCAGGUAUCGUUGCAGCUUCAGGUGGUUCCUACUGGUCACUAUUGAGGUGCACUUCCUGAUGUGAAGAAUCUUUCCCCGCCUCUGUGUGCGUGUAUUGAUUAAAACGAGGACUGUAGUGCAAUGAAACUUCCACCUUUCACAAACACUAAAUUCACUCAGAUAAAAAUUGCUUCUGAGCUGAAACCUUGUGGCCAAGUUGAAUGAUUACAGACAAGGUGGAUGAGGUAAUAUUUUUAUUGGACCAACUUUUGUUGGUGAGGCCUGGUCUACACUAUGAGUUUAUGUUGGAUUUAGCAGUGUUAUAUCCGAAUUAACCUUGCACCCGUCCACACAACGAAGCCAUUUUUUCAAGAUAAAGGGCUCUUAAAACCAAUUUCUGUACUCCUCCCCAACGAGGGGAUUAGUGCUGAAAUCGACAUCGCUGUUUCGAAUUAGGGUUAGUGUGGACGCAAUUCAAAGGUAUUGACCUCCGGGAGUUAUCCCACAGUGCACCAUUGUGACCUCUCUGGACUGCACUCUGAACUCGGAUGCACUGGCCAGGUGUACAGGAAAAGCGCUGGGAGCUUUUGAAUCUCAUUUCCUGUUUGGCCAAGCUAGCUAAUCAGCACAGGUGACCAUGCAGUCCCAGAAUCGAAAAAGAGCUCCAGCAUGCACCGAACGAGAGGUACUGGAUCUGACCACUGUAUGGUGAAAAGGAAUCUGUGCUAUCAGAACUACGUUCCAAAAGACAAAAUGCCAAAACAUUUCAAAAAAUCUCAGAGGCCAUGAGGGACGCAACACAGUGCCCCAUGAAACUUAAGGAGCUCAGAAAAGCGUACCAGAAAACCAAAGAAUCAAACAGACGCUCUGGGACAGAGACCCAGACAUGCCGCUUCUAUGCUGAGUUGCAUGCAAUUCUAGGGGGGGCCACCACCACGACCCCACCCCUGUCCAUAGUCUCCGAUGAUGGGGUACUCUCCGCCAUGGCUGAGGAUUUUGCGGACGGGGAAGAUGAGGAGGAGGAGAACGAGCUUGGGGAGAGCACACAGUACACUGUUCUCCCUGACAGCCAGGAUCUUUUUAUCACCCUGACUGAAAUACCCUCCCAACCCAAUGAAGCCGGAGAGUGUACCUCUGCAGCUGCAAAUGUUUCAAGCCUCCCUUCUCCAUCCCAAAGGCUAUCUCAGAUAAGGUGGCGAAAAAAACACACACGCGAUGACAUGUUCUCUGAGCUCAGGCACUGACAGAGCUGUGUGGAGGGACACAAUAGCAGAGUACAGGACAGUGGCCGAUGAACGUGAGGAGAAGUGGCGGCAGGAAGAUCAGAGGAGGCAUGAGGCAACGCUGGGCUACUGCGGGAUCAAACGGACAUGCUCCGGUGUCUAGUGGAGGUUCAUGAACGGCAGCAGGAUCACAGACUGCCGCUGCAGUCCCUGCUUAACUGCCCUCUGUCCUCCCCAAGUUCCAUAGCCUCCUCACCCAGAUGCCCAAGAACGCGGGGUGGAAGGCUCCAGGCACCCAACCACUCCACCCCAGUGGACAGCCCAAGCAACAGAAGGCUAGCAUUCAACAAGUUUUGAAGUGGCCUUUUCCUUCCCUCCUACCCUCCUCCCACACCCCACCCUGCUACCUUGUCAGUUAUCUCCCUAUUUUUAUAAUCAAUUAAUAAAGAAUACAUGUUUUUUUAAA